AUUUUAUUUUUUAUUUUAUACAUUUUAUUUUGUGAUGUGAUGUGAGCGCAGGUGCAACCCAACAGGCCCCAAACGUUCCUGGCAGCAAGUAAAAAUGAAAUAUAAAAAUAUAGUCCAAACAGGUAAGGUGUAAUUGUAUUAUGAGCCAUAGUGCUUGGUCUGUUUGUCCUAUGUAAAUCAAUUGCAGUUAGAGGCUACAUUAAUUUUCUUUCUGUAAGCACUUAUUGAAAUUAUCUGAGCACAUUACAAGUACAUAUUUGCUUACUCUGUAUGCUCAAAUGUGACCCGUUAUAGCCAACAGAAAAAAAGCGGAGGCCCGAAAAACAGUUGGGGGUCCUCCACCACCACCACUCACAGAGGCUGAGCAGUUGGCCCUCAGCCAAAACAGUGGGCGCCCUGUGGCUGAAGGCAUCUCUGCGGGGACAUCCUCUGAGUCAAUAACCCCGCAAGACACAAGUGCCUACAUAAGAGUUGAUGGUGAUGGUGUACUGCAUCUGGUGCAGCCUCCUGUUGAGCCAGACCAACAUGCAGUUGAGAAUAAUGAAGAAACAUUGACAGCUGUUACAGAGGAGGAAGCAACAGAGACACUUCAUGAGAGUGAUGAUGGAAAUGCAGAGGAAGAGGGUCCAGCCACUUCUCCAACAAACCUUUCCUCAUUCCCUGUAAAGCAGCUGUAUAAGAAAUAUUUGAUCAAGAAAAUAACAAAAUGCGACUUGGAAAUGGAACACUUCAAGCAGCAGAUCCAAAAGACCAAGAUUGAGAUUUUACUGCUGGAACAUCAGUUAAGGGUGGGUGAAGUGGUCAGAGAUGGACGAAUUAUUUCAGUGUUUGAACAACAUAAUAAUAUACUUAUUAAUACUUUGUGUACAGGAAAUACAGGCGACCAAUAAAGCCAGUUGAACACAAAAUCUGUUUAUUCUUCUUUCAACA